rnacentral:rRNA from 1 species
GAUUAACGCUGGCGGCGUGCCUAACACAUGCAAGUCGAGCGGCAGCGAGUUUUACACUGAAUUCUGGAAGCUUCUAGUUGAAAGAGAAGAUUUAUUCAAGAAUUUUGUGUAAAAUGUCGGCGAGCGGCGGACGGCUGAGUAACGCGUGGGAACGUACCCCAAAGUGAGGGAUAACGCAUCGAAAGGUGUGCUAAUACCGCAUAUGGUCUUCGGAUUAAAGCCUUCGGGCGCUUUGGGAACGGCCUGCGUAAGAUUAGAUAGUUGGUGGGGUAAUGGCCUACAAAGUCGACGAUCUUUAACUGGUUUGGGAGGAGGAUCAGUCAGACUGGAACUGGGCCACGGUCCAGACUCCUACGGGAGGCGGCAGUGAGGAAUCUUCCACAAUGGGCGAAAGCCUGAGGGGGCAACGCGGCGUGCAGGAUGAAGGCCUUCGGGUUGUAAACUGCUUUUAAAAGUGAGGAUUAGGACAGUAACUAAUGAAUAAGGAUCGGCAACUACGUG